UACGAGUCAGGAAAAGCGAAGUGUGUAUUUUGUCCCAACUAGCUGAGCGCAGAGAGAAAUGAGGCUUAAGGGACUCUCGUGCAAUAUUGACUUUAUUUUUUCAGUGAGUUGCCUUAUCCUGGGGCUCUGUGUGAGUCAUUGUGAACUAAUAUUCCGGUUUGAGUGGUAAUCAUCACAUCGUUUCAAAGCAUGGGUAUGAUAAACUACAGGCAGGUUUUUAACUGCUGAGCUACAUGGGAAACUCCAAACCUUUCAUGGCUCCCCAUCUGCCUACUGAAUAAAGUCUACGAUCCUUGGAGCACCAUCUUGGUUUCUACAUGAUCUGGUACCAGCUUGAGGAUUGUACCUCAUUGGCCUUCUGUUCAUUCACUAUACCUGACAGCUCAGCUUCCUUCCUCUAACUCAUUCUCUGCUUCUCCAUCAUAUAGGCUUUGUUAAAAAAAAAAAAAAAAUGCAUGUAUUUUGAAAAUCCUUUCCACACCAACUCUGCCUGUCAGGCUCAUAAAACUUUUCCAUGAAACUUA